rnacentral:lncRNA from 1 species
CCUAACGGUAUCGAGCGAGCCGGUUGUAGACGUGGUCCAGGUUUCUGCACAGGAAUAUCGAGAGCGUCAUGAACCCGAGCUAUAGAGAAAGGAGAUGAGGCCCCGCCCCAUUCGACAGGUUUAUGCUCCGAACCCCUGCCCACCUCGCGGUAGAUGUGGCUCUCUGCAGGGACAGCGCAGAUGUCUGCACUGUGUCUGGACCGCGCCAGGUGUCCAAGCCUGCUGAGCUGGGGCAAGAUCACCUUAUCUAGGAUUGUGGAGUCGUUGGUCGCCGACAAGUUGUAGCAGGAGCAGGGCACGCGGUGCGCCUCCGACCCGUUACCUCUCAGGAUGAGGACUUGGAACCAGUCCUGCGGGUAGUGCCAGCCGCAGCAGCGCAGCUGGGAGAGGGAUACGAGUCAGAGGGACCGGGACUGGAGACAUAUGAUGUUGGGGAUCAGGGGACAAGGUGAUGGGUAUGAGGUCAGGUCGGGGAGCAGGGGACUAAGUGGUGGGUGUGGAGUGGGGGACAGUGGGCUGGGGUCACGAUGGGGCCGGAGCCAGGGGACAUUACGGGAACAUGGGGCUGGGAAAGACGAGUCACGGGGUGACCUGGGGCUGGGGAAGGAGCUGCAGGGUCGCGCUGUGGACUAGAGAUUGGGUGGGUGGUGCAAUUGAGCCUCUGAUACCCGACAGGUGAAUAGGAGUGCGAGACCAUGUGAGUCUCAUCGGGGGCGGGGUCCGGUGGAAGCCAGAGUCACUACGGGGUAGGAAGCCGUGUCUCGCUAGGGUCUUGGGACUAGGGGCCUGACAACCUCUGGUCGGGGCGGGGGCGGGGGCGGAGUCUCUCGAGGUAGCUAGGCAGCCACCCAAGUGGGGAGCAGUAUCUUGGUGCCCCUCUCUCUGGGACUCUGUCCCUGCCCCACCCUGAGUCCCUGUUUCCUUCUGAAACUUUCUCUUCUUUCUGGGCCUGUUUCCCGUCCCUGGAUCUCUGUCUCUCUUCCUCUUACCCUCUCCUUCCUCCUUCAGCUCCUCCUCGUCCCCAGUAGUUUCAGCCCUAUCACUUGUUCUGUGACAUUGGCUUGGCUCCUUAAACCUCCCUGAGGCAUAGGAGAUGAUAUCUAUUUCUUAGGGUUUUUUUUUGAGUUGGAGCCUCGCUCUGUCCCCCAGGCUGGAGUGCAGUGAUGUGAUC